CCCUUAGAUGUUCUGGGCCGCACGCGCGCUACACUGAUUCAUGCAACAAGUUUUGUCCUUGGCUGAUAGGCCUGGGUAAUCUUUGAACGUGAAUCGUGAUGGGGAUAGAUGAUUGCAAUUAUUCAUCUUCAACGAGGAAUUCCUAGUAAACGCAAGUCAUCAGCUUGCAUUGAUUACGUCCCUGCCCUUUGUACACACCGCCCGUCGCACCUACCGAUUGAAUGGUCCGGUGAAAUCUUCGGAUCUGAGAGAUGUCUGAUUAAUUUCGGACGCCUUUUGGAAAAGCUGUUUAAACCUUACCAUUUAGAGGAAGGUGAAGUCGUAACA
rnacentral:rRNA from 1 species